rnacentral:rRNA from 1 species
CGGAAUCUACUCUGUCGUGGGGGAUAACGUAGGGAAACUUACGCUAAUACCGCAUACGACCUACGGGUGAAAGCAGGGGAUCUUCGGACCUUGCGCGAUUGAAUGAGCCGAUGUCGGAUUAGCUAGUUGGCGGGGUAAAGGCCCACCAAGGCGACGAUCCGUAGCUGGUCUGAGAGGAUGAUCAGCCACACUGGAACUGAGACACGGUCCAGACUCCUACGGGAGGCAGCAGUGGGGAAUAUUGGACAAUGGGCGCAAGCCUGAUCCAGCCAUACCGCGUGGGUGAAGAAGGCCUUCGGGUUGUAAAGCCCUUUUGUUGGGAAAGAAAUCCAGCUGGCUAAUACCCGGUUGGGAUGACGGUACCCAAAGAAUAAGCACCGGCUAACUUCGUGCCAGCAGCCGCGGUAAUACGAAGGGUGCAAGCGUUACUCGGAAUUACUGGGCGUAAAGCGUGCGUAGGUGGUCGUUUAAGUCCGUUGUGAAAGCCCUGGGCUCAACCUGGGAACUGCAGUGGAUACUGGGCGACUAGAGUGUGGUAGAGGGUAGCGGAAUUCCUGGU